UACGUAGGGGGCAAGCGUUGUCCGGAAUCAUUGGGCGUAAAGAGCGUGUAGGCGGCCCGAUAAGUCCGCUGUGAAAGUCCAGGGCUCAACCCUGGAAUGCCGGUGGAUACUGUCGGGCUCGAAUCCGGAAGAGGUGAGUGGAAUUCCUGGUGUAGCGGUGAAAUGCGCAGAUAUCAGGAGGAACACCAAUGGCGAAGGCAGCUCACUGGGACGGUAUUGACGCUGAGACGCGAAAGCGUGGGGAGCAAACAGGAUUGAGAAACC
rnacentral:rRNA from 1 species